GCAGUGGUGAUUCAGUGGUAGAAUUCUUGCCUUCCAUGCCUGAGACUGGGGUUCAGUUCCCGGCCAAUGCA
rnacentral:tRNA from 1 species